GGGGGAUAUUGCGCAAUGGGGGAAACCCUGACGCAGCAACGCCGCGUGAAGGAUGAAGGUCUUCGGAUUGUAAACUUCUUUUAUUAAGGACGAAGAAAGUGACGGUACUUAAUGAAUAAGCUCCGGCUAACUACGUGCCAGCAGCCGCGGUAAUACGUAGGGAGCAAGCGUUGUCCGGAUUUACUGGGUGUAAAGGGUGCGUAGGCGGCUUUGCAAGUCAGAUGUGAAAUCUAUGGGCUCAACCCAUAGCCUGCAUUUGAAACUGCAGAGCUUGAGUGAAGUAGAGGUAAGCGGAAUUCCUGGUGUAGCGGUGAAAUGCGUAGAGAUCAGGAGGAACAUCGGUGGCGAAGGCGGCUUACUGGGCUUUUACUGACGCUGAGGCUCGAAAGCGUGGGGAGCAAACAGGAUUAGAUACCCUGGUAGUCCACGCUGUAAACGAUGAUUACUAGGUGUGGGGGGAUUGACCCCUUCCGUGCCGCAGUUAACACAAUAAGUAAUCCACCUGGGGAGUACGACCGCAAGGUUGAAACUCAAAGGAAUUGACGGGGGCCCGCACAAGCAGUGGAGUAUGUGGUUUAAUUCGAAGCAACGCGAAGAACCUUACCAGGUCUUGACAUCGAGUGACGUAUCCAGAGAUGGAUAUUUCCUUCGGGACACAAAGACAGGUGGUGCAUGGUUGUCGUCAGCUCGUGUCGUGAGAUGUUGGGUUAAGUCCCGCAACGAGCGCAACCCUUAUCAUUAGUUGCUACGCAAGAGCACUCUAAUGAGACUGCCGUUGACAAAACGGAGGAAGGUGGGGAUGACGUCAAAUCAUCAUGCCCCUUAUGACCUGGGCUACACACGUACUACAAUGGCGAUCGAACAGAGGGAAGCAAGACAGCGAUGUGGAGCCAAUCCCAAAAAAUCGCCCCAGUUCAGAUUGCAGGCUGCAACUCGCCUGCAUGAAGUCGGAAUUGCUAGUAAUCGCAGAUCAGCAUGCUGCGGUGAAUACGUUCCCG
rnacentral:rRNA from 1 species